rnacentral:rRNA from 1 species
GAUGAACGCUGGCGGCGUGCCUAAUACAUGCAAGUCGAGCGAACAGACGAGGAGCUUGCUCCUCUGACGUUAGCGGCGGACGGGUGAGUAACACGUGGAUAACCUACCUAUAAGACUGGGAUAACUUCGGGAAACCGUAGCUAAUACCGGAUAAUAUAUUGAACCGCAUGGUUCAAUAGUGAAAGACGGUCUUGCUGUCACUUAUAGAUGGAUCCGCGCCGCAUUAGCUAGUUGGUAAGGUAACGGCUUACCAAGGCGACGAUGCGUAGCCGACCUGAGAGGGUGAUCGGCCACACUGGAACUGAGACACGGUCCAGACUCCUACGGGAGGCAGCAGUAGGGAAUCUUCCGCAAUGGGCGAAAGCCUGACGGAGCAACGCCGCGUGAGUGAUGAAGGUCUUCGGAUCGUAAAACUCUGUUAUUAGGGAAGAACAAAUGUGUAAGUAACUAUGCACGUCUUGACGGUACCUAAUCAGAAAGCCACGGCUAACUACGUG